rnacentral:rRNA from 1 species
GUCUACGGCCAUACCACCUUGAAUGCGCCCGAUCUCGUCUGAUCUCGGAAGCUAAGCAGGGUUGGGCCUGGUUAGUACUUGGAUGGGAGACACAAAUAUGAGUGUGCUGUUUUAGUACAUU